GCCAGUGAUGAUAGUUUUUAUUAAUGGUUGACUGAAAUGCAUGUUUUAUACUUGCAAAAUUGUUGAAAAUCAUGAACUAGGACGGUCUGAGGC